rnacentral:SRP_RNA from 1 species
GUGCAGAAUAGACUGGGGAGAUAGACGUUCCCUAUCACCAGAAAUCGUCUUUAUGCUGGGGUCGAAUUCAAGAGGCGAUGUAACGAGCAUUUGUUGAUCCAUUUGUUGACGAUGAAACUUUGUCCUAUGGGAUCAGAGGCGAUGACCACAUAUAAUCGGAGGAUUAUAUGUACAUCUUAGUUGUGGGAACCGGGCGAGGCACGGAAGUGAGCAGCCUUACCGCAGACUGCUGAUGCUCAAAGGGUUAACGGGGUUAAGAAUGCAGAUGGGUAGUCAAUACGUGAAACGUACACCCACUCGCGAACUUUCUGCAC